rnacentral:sRNA from 1 species
UCAUAUUGAGAUGCUAUUGGGGAUGCCCCUGGCAGUGAUCCCCUCAGCCGCCCCCUUAUUGUCUGACGUGUUGGGGAACAUCAGUGUGUAGGGGAAAUUGGCUGGACCGACCCGGUUCUUGAGCAGGGGGUCCUUGUUCAUGUUCAACACUUUGCUCUCAAUCUCCACCAGCUGCCUGCUGAACCUCUUGAAUGCUUCCAGUGCCUUGGGGUCUGAUGUCCACUCUGGCGUGUCACGCUGCCCAAGAUAGAUCUCAUCCGCUGAGUGCUUUGAUAGAAUCUCAAUGAGCGAGACACCGAGAAUGGUUUGGAAUUGGCUGGUGAUGGUGCGGAUGAAGAACUUCUCUGGGUUCUCGUCCAGCUCUGUGUACUCCUUGGAACCCGGCUCGGGCAUCGGCCGCCGGCUUAUGGUCGGACGGUUUGGAAGAUAGCCCGCGUAUGGGUACUGCCCGAAAUUGACGGCUGCGUGGAGUGCUGAUGCAAUCCAGAUGAUUGUGGUGCAGGCCUUGGUGAGCUCAGGCAAGCUCUGCAUCUUGGGCCACCAGUCCGCGUCCUUGAGAUCACCAUGCCCGACUUCCCGCACCUCCUUCCACCAUGCUUGCAGCUCCACAUCUCCCUGGAGGACACCAUCGUUUGGGUAGUAGAUGGCACAGUACUCAGUGACCCACUGCUCGAUUGCUUGCCAGAUCGCCAGGCCAUCUGUUGCAUAAGGGUAGUCCUUGAUCAGUAGCUUCACCUUGGAUGGGCUUGAUGGGUCCUUGAUGGCAAUGCCUCUGCAUUACA